rnacentral:rRNA from 1 species
AUUGAACGCUGGCGGCAGGCUUAACACAUGCAAGUCGAGCGGAGUGAUGGUGCUUGCACUAUCACUUAGCGGCGGACGGGUGAGUAAUGCUUAGGAAUCUGCCUAUUAGUGGGGGACAACAUCUCGAAAGGGAUGCUAAUACCGCAUACGUCCUACGGGAGAAAGCAGGGGAUCACUUGUGACCUUGCGCUAAUAGAUGAGCCUAAGUCGGAUUAGCUAGUUGGUGGGGUAAAGGCCUACCAAGGCGACGAUCUGUAGCGGGUCUGAGAGGAUGAUCCGCCAAACGGGGACUGAGACACGGCCCAGACUCCUACGGGGGGCAGCAGUGGGGAAUAUUGGAAGAUGGGGGGAACCCUGAUCCAGCCAUGCCGCGUGUGUGAAGAAGGCCUUAUGGUUGUAAAGCACUUUAAGCGAGGAGGAGGCUCUUUUGGUUAAUACCCAAGAUGAGUGGACGUUACUCGCAGAAUAAGCACCGGCUAACUCUGUGCCAGCCGCCGCCGUAA